rnacentral:rRNA from 1 species
UACGUAGGGUGCGAGCGUUGUCCGGAUUUAUUGGGCGUAAAGAGCUCGUAGGCGGUUUGUCGCGUCUGCUGUGAAAUCCCGAGGCUCAACCUCGGGCCUGCAGUGGGUACGGGCAGACUGGAGUGCGGUAGGGGAGAAUGGAAUUCCUGGUGUAGCGGUGGAAUGCGCAGAUAUCAGGAGGAACACCGAUGGCGAAGGCAGUUCUCUGGGCCGUAACUGACGCUGAGGAGCGAAAGCGUGGGGAGCGAACAGG